UACGAAGGGGGGCUAGCGUUGCUCGGAAUCACUGGGCGUAAAGGGUGCGUAGGCGGGUCUUUAAGUCAGGGGUGAAAUCCUGGAGCUCAACUCCAGAACUGCCUUCGAUACUGGAAGACUCGAGUCCGGGAGAGGUGAGUGGAACUGCGAGUGUAGAGGUGAAAUUCGUAGAUAUUCGCAAGAACACCAGUGGCGAAGGCGGCUCACUGGCCCGGUACUGACGCUGAGGUGCGAAAGCGUGGGGAGCAAACAGG
rnacentral:rRNA from 1 species